UACGAGGGGGGCAAGCGUUGUUCGGAAUUAUUGGGCGUAAAGGGCGCGUAGGCGGUGCGGUAAGUCACCUGUGAAAACUCUGGGCUCAACUCAGAGCCUGCAGGCGAAACUGCCGUGCUUGAGUGUGGGAGAGGUGCGUGGAAUUCCCGGUGUAGCGGUGAAAUGCGUAGAUAUCGAGAGGAACACCAGUGGCGAAGGCGAGUCCCUGGACAGGUCCUGACGCUGAGGCACGAAAGCUAGGGGAGCAAACAGG
rnacentral:rRNA from 1 species